GACGUAGGGCGCGAGCGUUGUCCGGAUUUAUUGGGCGUAAAGAGCUCGUAGGCGGCUUGUCGCGUCGACCGUGAAAACUUGGGGCUCAACCCCAAGCCUGCGGUCGAUACGGGCAGGCUCGAGUUCGGUAGGGGAGACUGGAAUUCCUGGUGUAGCGGUGAAAUGCGCAGAUAUCAGGAGGAACACCAGUGGCGAAGGCGGGUCUCUGGGCCGAUACUGACGCUGAGGAGCGAAAGCGUGGGGAGCGAACAGG
rnacentral:rRNA from 1 species